rnacentral:tRNA from 1 species
GCGGGAGUAGCUCAGUGGCAGAGCAUCUGCUUCCCAAGCAGAGGGUCGCGGGUUCGACCCCCGUCUCCCGCUCCA